rnacentral:rRNA from 1 species
UCGAGGAUCUUCGGCAAUGGGGGCAACCCUGACCGAGCGACGCCGCGUGGGCGACGAAGGCCUUCGGGUUGUAAAGCCCUGUCGGGGGGGAGGAAAGCCGAAAGGUUUGACCUAUCCCCGGAGGAAGCACGGGCUAAGUUCGUGCCAGCAGCCGCGGUAAGACGAACCGUGCGAACGUUGUUCGGAAUCACUGGGCUUAAAGGGCGCGUAGGCGGGCCACCGAGUCCGCGGUGAAAUCCCCCGGCUCAACCGGGGAACGGCCGUGGAUACUGGGGGCCUGGAGGCGGGUAGGGGCGGGCGGAACUCUGGGUGGAGCGGUGAAAUGCGUUGAUAUCCAGAGGAACUCCGGUGGCGAAGGCGGCCCGCUGGACCUGAUCUGACGCUGAGGCGCGAAAGCCAGGGGAGCGAACG